UUGACUAGUUCAAGCGCGUCGCAAAGUCAAAGUCGAAUUACGGUCGCUGUGUUCUCUUUUCUGUUCUGGAUUCCACGGUACAAACAAGUAGUAAGAGUAUCGAAUCUAGCGAUGUGCGAUUGUCUCAGUAUAUUAAUUGAUUUACCAUUUUAUACAUUUUGCGAGCAUCAUGAUUGCCGUUCAGCAUCGGAAAUAUCGAAGAACAACGAGAAACGUCGAGUGGAGGAACCACCGCUGUGGGGAAUCGAAUGAGAUAAGUGAUUGCGUUUGCCUACGAGAUUUUUAUAGGUUAUUCGCGCGGAUUGACUAUGAUGCGGCAACUUUGCUCUGCGAGUUUUUGCGCUGAGAGCGCGUCGCGUAUAAUAAAUCGAAAGUACCGAAUGAAUCUACCGGAUAUUGUUUCAGUUUGUUCGUAUUAAUCCGCUCAAUCGUGAUUUUCGAUGUUCGUGAUCGAUGUCGAUCGUGUAUCGUCGGAUUGCUGUUUUAAAUUGAAAAAUUUUAUAUAUGUAUUUUGCAUUGUUUGGAAGUGUACCGAGGACGCGUUGUGCGCGAUAAGUCGGGAGUGUCGAGAAGUUUACGGGCGAUUGUUCUUAGUGUAUUAAUUAACCCGCUUGAUCGUAAUUAUCGCUUAAUCGAUGUCGGUCGCUUUAGUCGGAUCAAAAAGUGUAUCUCUUGUAUCAUUUUAUUCUGCGCGUUUCGUGUUAUUCGGGAGUGUGAACGAGAAAAAUGUGUAUAUUGUCAGUGCAUCAAGGAACGAGCAUCAGCAUCGACGAUCAAGCAUCAGACGAUCCGUCGAGGGAGAUAAUGCUGCUCAUCUACGAGAUCCAAGGUAAAUCUUUGUAUUGCCAUCGGUGAUAUCGCAAGUGUAUAAUAUUUGUUUUGUCGCAUUAUAAUAUCAUAGAAUGCCGGGAGUGUCGAUAGUUUUGUGCGAGUACGAAACGCCGUAUUCUAGGGAAUCGUAAGACGAACGCAUUCGGUUGAAUGAUAUGAUUAAUAUUGGACACGAUUUUUUCUCGACUUUGGGCUUGGCUCGGGGGAGGGAAGGAUUGCUUUUUAUCAUGGGAUCCUUCAGUGUCACACGGAAAAAAGUAGUGUCAAAUCAAAGCUUAUAUACUUAAAUUAACGCGUUCAUUGUUUCGUAUAUACGCAACAAUUAAU